UUCUGGAAAACCAAUUCUCCUAUUGAAUAUCGGAUGCCGGACGUAGUGUAAAUCCUCCAUUGUAGACUUUUUCUUAAGUAGCACGACUCAACAGCAAGUCGACCUAAUCUUACUUAUUUUCAAAAAAUACAAAUCUAAGACGAUUCAUUAAUUUAAGCAACGUUAAGGUGUCGUGAAUGCAACGUCUACCGUGAGAGUGCAAAAAUGAGUGUUACGUUACACACGGAUGUCGGAGACAUUAAAAUAGAGUUAUUUUGCGAAAUGUGUCCGAAAACCUGCGAGAAUUUUCUUGCACUCUGUGCUAGUGGAUAUUACAACAAUUGUAUGUUCCAUCGAAAUAUAAAAGGCUUUAUUGUUCAAACUGGAGAUCCUACUCAAACAGGGAAAGGAGGAACUUCUAUAUGGAAUCGUAAAUUUGAAGAUGAAUUUAAGGAAGAACUAAAGCAUAAUGCCAGAGGUCUUGUUUCCAUGGCUAACAAUGGUCCUAAUACAAAUGGCAGUCAAUUUUUUAUAACUUAUGCACCACAAUCACACUUGGAUCUAAAAUAUACCUUAUUUGGAAAAGUGAUCGAUGGCUUAGAAACUUUGGAGCAAUUGGAAAAAUUGCCAGUAAACCCUAAGAAUUACAAACCACUAGCAGAGAUCCGAAUUAAUAAUAUAACUAUACAUGCUAACCCACUAGCAGGAUAAGUUUAAAUAAUGCAGUAUUUUUUAAUGUCUAUCAUGUUUAUAUGAUACCAAAUUGUAAAAAAAUAAUUUUUACAAGUACUUUACAUCACAUAUAUACCUUGCAAUCUUUUGUUAUGUGGAUCAAAGGGACUGUGAAGAUACAUCUUUGCAGGAUAUUUCUUCCUCAUUACCUCAAUCUGGAGCUUCGUGGAAUAUGCAGUUCGAAGCCGAGUUCACCGACAAAGCUGAGUCUAAACAUGUGCACCAAUUCGUCGUCUAUUCGCAUCAAUUUCGACGUUGAGAAUGGAAACGAUUCGUUGGAAAGAUCGUUCUCGGUCAACAUUCGAAGAACUUGGAUGCUACAGCAACGAAUAAGAACUUAACGGAUCGACGAUACCACCAUUGCCAGAUUCUAGACCAGUGACCGUGCAAUCUCCCUCUACACCUCCGCCGCGAUUCAACAUGCAGGUGUACACAGUCCUGUUGAUCUCUCGAUCCACUUGAGACGUAAAUAUAUAAUUCGCUGCUUCGCUCGCCUCUGGCCCGCACAAGUAGUAUUUUCCAAAGUAGGAUAUGUUGAACAAAGCGACGUUAUUUCUACAUGAAAGUGCUUCCUCUCGUAUCUGCACACAUAGUACACAAUAAGUUAUCGAUUUAAUAUUCUUAUCACUCAGUGCUACGUAUAUUUUCUGAAUAUUUUUUCCGCAUAUUUCCUGUUUCAUUUUGGAGAGAGAGACUUACGAUAUCAUCAUGCGCCGGGAAGUUGAAUGUACGUUCUGCCUUCAAUAUAUCAGCGUAUACGUGA